rnacentral:rRNA from 1 species
GACAGAGGGUGCAACCGUUGUUCGGAAUUACUGGGCGUAAAGCGCGUGUAGGCGGCAAGGCAAGUCGGAUGUGAAAGCCCACGGCUCAACCGUGGAAGUGCACCCGAAACUGCCUAGCUAGAGUCUCGGAGAGGAAGGUGGAAUGCUUGGUGUAGAGGUGAAAUUCGUAGAUAUCAAGCGGAACACCGGUGGCGAAGGCGGCCUUCUGGACGAUGACUGACGCUGAGGCACGAAAGCGUGGGGAGCAAACAGG